rnacentral:rRNA from 1 species
AAGUUACUUAAACAACCAGGAGGUUGGCUUAGAAGCAGCCAUCCUUUAAAGAAAGCGUAAUAGCUCACUGGUCUAGUGAUUUUGCGCGGAAAAUAUAACGGGGCUAAAGUAAGUACCGAAGCUGUAGACUUAGUUUACUAAGUGGUAGGAGAGCGUUCUAUUUGCGUCGAAGGUAUACCGGUAAGGAGUGCUGGAGCGAAUAGAAGUGAGCAUGCAGGCAUGAGUAGCGAUAAUUAAUGUGAGAAUCAUUAACGCCGUAAACCCAAGGUUUCCUACGCGAUGCUCGUCAUCGUAGGGUUAGUCGGGUCCUAAGUCGAGUCCGAAAGGGGUAGACGAUGGCAAAUUGGUUAAUAUUCCAAUACCAACAUUAGUGUGCGAUGGAAGGACGCUUAGGGCUAAGGGGGCUAGCGGAUGGAAGUGCUAGUCUAAGGUCGUAGGAGGUUAUACAGGCAAAUCCGUAUAACAAUACUCCGAGAACUGAAAGGCUUUUUGAAGUCUUCGGAUGGAUAGAAGAACCCCUGAUGCCGUCGAGCCAAGAAAAGUUUCUAAGUUUAGCUAAUGUUGCCCGUACCGUAAACCGACACAGGUGGGUGGGAUGAGUAUUCUAAGGCGCGUGGAAGAACUCUCUUUAAGGAACUCUGCAAAAUAGCACCGUAUCUUCGGUAUAAGGUGUGGUUAGCUUUGUAUUAGGAUUUACUCCGAAAGCAAGGAAACUUACAACAAAGAGUCCCUCCCGACUGUUUACCAAAAACACAGCACUCUGCUAACUCGUAAGAGGAUGUAUAGGGUGUGACGCCUGCCCGGUGCUCGAAGGUUAAUUGAUGGGGUUAGCAUUAGCGAAGCUCUUGAUCGAAGCCCGAGUAAACGGCGGCCGUAACUAUAACGGUCCUAAGGUAGCGAAAUUCCUUGUCGGUUAAAUACCGACCUGCAUGAAUGGCGUAACGAGAUGGGAGCUGUCUCAAAGAGGGAUCCAGUGAAAUUGUAGUGGAGGUGAAAAUUCCUCCUACCCGCGGCAAGACGGAAAGACCCCGUGGACCUUUACUACAGCUUGACACUGCUACUUGGAUAAGAAUGUGCAGGAUAGGUGGGAGGCUUUGAGUAUAUGACGCCAGUUGUAUAUGAGCCAUUGUUGAGAUACCACUCUUUCUUAUUUGGGUAGCUAACCAGCUUGAGUUAUCCUCAAGUGGGACAAUGUCUGGUGGGUAGUUUGACUGGGGCGGUCGCCUCCCAAAUAAUAACGGAGGCUUACAAAGGUUGGCUCAGAACGGUUGGAAAUCGUUCGUAGAGUAUAAAGGUAUAAGCCAGCUUAACUGCAAGACAUACAAGUCAAGCAGAGACGAAAGUCGGUCUUAGUGAUCCGGUGGUUCUGUGUGGAAGGGCCAUCGCUCAAAGGAUAAAAGGUACCCCGGGGAUAACAGGCUGAUCUCCCCCAAGAGCUCACAUCGACGGGGAGGUUUGGCACCUCGAUGUCGGCUCAUCGCAUCCUGGGGCUGGAGCAGGUCCCAAGGGUAUGGCUGUUCGCCAUUUAAAGCGGUACGCGAGCUGGGUUCAGAACGUCGUGAGACAGUUCGGUCCCUAUCUGCCGUGGGCGUAAGAAGAUUGAAGAGAUUUGACCCUAGUACGAGAGGACCGGGUUGAACAAACCACUGGUGUAGCUGUUGUUCUGCCAAGAGCAUCGCAGCGUAGCUAAGUUUGGAAAGGAUAAACGCUGAAAGCAUCUAAGCGUGAAGCCAACUCUAAGAUGAAUCUUCUCUAAGCUCUCUAGAAGACUACUAGUUUGAUAGGCUGGGUGUGUAAUGGAUGAAAGUCCUUUAGCUGACCAGUACUAAUAGAGCGUUUGGCUUAUCUUUAAUAAAGCAU